GACGAACGCUGGCGGCGUGCUUAACACAUGCAAGUCGAACGGAAAGGCCCUGCUUUUGUGGGGUGCUCGAGUGGCGAACGGGUGAGUAACACGUGAGUAACCUGACCUUGACUUUGGGAUAACUUCAGGAAACUGGGGCUAAUACCGGAUAGGAGCUCCUGCUGCAUGGUGGGGGUUGGAAAGUUUCGGCGGCUGGGGAUGGACUCGCGGCUUAUCAGCUUGUUGGUGGGGUAGUGGCUUACCAAGGCUUUGACGGGUAGCCGGCCUGAGAGGGUGACCGGCCACAUUGGGACUGAGAUACGGCCCAGACUCCUACGGGAGGCAGCAGUGGGGAAUAUUGCACAAUGGGCGGAAGCCUGAUGCAGCAACGCCGCGUGCGGGAUGACGGCCUUCGGGUUGUAAACCGCUUUCGCCUGUGACGAAGCGUGAGUGACGGUAAUGGGUAAAGAAGCACCGGCUAACUACGU
rnacentral:rRNA from 1 species